ACGGGUGAGUAAUGCUUAGGAAUCUGCCUAUUAGUGGGGGACAACAUCUCGAAAGGGAUGCUAAUACCGCAUACGUCCUACGGGAGAAAGCAGGGGACCUUCGGGCCUUGCGCUAAUAGAUGAGCCUAAGUCGGAUUAGCUAGUUGGUGGGGUAAAGGCCUACCAAGGCGACGAUCUGUAGCGGGUCUGAGAGGAUGAUCCGCCACACUGGGACUGAGACACGGCCCAGACUCCUACGGGAGGCAGCAGUGGGGAAUAUUGGACAAUGGGGGGAACCCUGAUCCAGCCAUGCCGCGUGUGUGAAGAAGGCCUUUUGGUUGUAAAGCACUUUAAGCGAGGAGGAGGCUACCGAGAUUAAUACUCUUGGAUAGUGGACGUUACUCGCAGAAUAAGCACCGGCUAACUCUGUGCCAGCAGCCGCGGUAAUACAGAGGGUGCAAGCGUUAAUCGGAUUUACUGGGCGUAAAGCGCGCGUAGGUGGCCAAUUAAGUCAAAUGUGAAAUCCCCGAGCUUAACUUGGGAAUUGCAUUCGAUACUGGUUGGCUAGAGUAUGGGAGAGGAUGGUAGAAUUCCAGGU
rnacentral:rRNA from 1 species